CUAGAAGUUACAGUUAUCAAACCUUUGGGAGUAGACUGUACAGUACGUGACUUAUUCCAAGUACUAGGAUGUGCUUGUUCCUGCUCGAAUUGGCUCGAGAAAUUCAGACACAGAGUAUGUGUGACCGCUUUAUUGAAUUUCCUCCUCAAGGACUUCGCUCUCUGUCAAGAAUGAAGCUCAUCUCUACAGCAUGAAUCAGACAUUGGCAGACGUAUAAGGGCGGUGAAUCACUCUCCAUAGAACAGGUUGUCAUUCUUAAUAUUUGCUCGGCUAAGAGGUUAAGGAAAAAAAGAAUGCGAUGGGGUAGUAAGUAGGGUAAGAGGAUAUUGAUGAUGAUGAAGAUAAAGAAGAUAGAGAGAUAGAGAACAUGUAGUGGGUUAGGGGGUGGGGUGAUAGAUACAAGAAUAGUAUAUCAUCAUGUCACGUUUCGAACUGACGUGCUAUUUAUUUGUGUAUUAGUUAUUUUGUAGGAAAAUGGAUAACUGAAAAAAAAUCAUCUGAGAAAAUAAAAUGUUAAGAGUGUACCUCAACAA